GACGAACGCUGGCGGCGUGCCUAAUACAUGCAAGUCGAACGCAGUGGGGACGGGUGAGUAACACGUGGGUAACCUCCCAACAGCGGGGAUAACACUUGGAAACAGGUGCUAAACCGAUACUGGUGGGUGGACCCGCGGGGCAUUAGCUAGUUGGUGAGGUAACGGCUCACCAAGGCCACGAUGCGUAGACGACCUGAGAGGGGGAUCGGCCACCCUGGAGCUUAGACGUGGCCCAGACUCCUACGGGAGGCAGCAGUAGGGAAUCUGCGGCAAUGGACGAAAGUCUGACCGAGCAACGGCGCGUGAGUGAAGAAGGUUUUCGGAGCGUAAAACUCUGUUGUUAGAGAAGCGGUAUCUAACCAGAAAGCCACGGCUAACUACGUGCCAGCAGCCGCGGUAAUUC
rnacentral:rRNA from 1 species